rnacentral:lncRNA from 1 species
GAAGAAAAUAAGGUGUUUUCCUCAGCAAGCAGAUUAUUUUUUUAAGUAGUUUAAUUCUUUUACAAAUAGUGGCUUCAUCAAGAUGACAUUGGAGGAAAGAAGAGCUUCAGGAAGGAUGAGGAAAAGAAAAAGCUUUGUAUUUCAAGAGAAGCUGCUGUUUUAAGACACUCAGAGGGAAAGAGAGGCCAAAGUCGAGAUGAAGGGCUCCCUCAUGACCAGAGUCAUGUGACAUUAGAAGAUGCUGCAUGA